GAACACAGCGGGCUCGGUCAGCGACGGCAGCACACCCCACCUGCAGUGGGGCAUCCUGGGACCUGCAGUAUCACAGUGGAGCACCUUCCCUGGAGCCAGGCAAGUAGAGCUAAGCCUGCCCUGCAUCCCCUGUGACCGCUGUGCUGCUGCUCCUGCCCACCUGGAGUGCCGGGGAAGGCACUCACCUGGAGCUGGUGAGGAGCAUCCUGCUCUGCACAGAUGGUCCCACACCUUGCCUGCAUGUCUGGACAUCACGGCCUCAGGGCUUUCUGGGGGUCAGAAAGGACUCACUGGCACUUGGGAAGAGAGAAGAGUCCCAGCUACACCUGUGUGUUUUCUGCUCUAACACCUAAAGACAGGCUCUGUUGUCGCUGCGAGUCCCUCUGGGAUCAAGCCUCUCCUCAGCGUCACCAUUGUCAGCGCAUUUGGCUGGCCCACACUUGGGGGACUUAUGUUUCACUGUAAUUCCUUCCAAAACACGCAGAAAAGGCUCUCACUCUCUCUUUCUCAUUAGCUUGAUGGAAAGAGCAUGUCUUGAGGCAGCUAUUUAAAGUCCCAGUCAAAUGGAACUACUGAAAGCUGUUCUUUCAGAGGCAAGGUCAGAAUUGUUCGAUAUGGUAACGAAUUUUCCAAGGCUUAUGCCAGUGGAAAGACAAGUACACAUUAUGGCCUUGUAUUUUCAGUGCACUUUCAAGUCUUUGUUUCCACACUUGGAGCCUCAGAGAGCUUGUGCUUGAGGGAACUGCCAUCUCCAAAUCCUACCAACCUCCAUCCUCUUAAUUCCCCCAACUCCUCGUCCACCGUAGUAGGAAGCAUCCACCGUGGGCCACUUCUUGGAAGGCAAGGGCUCCUGUUCUUCUUCCUUCUCUUCCCGUUCCCUUUGUCACAUCCACGCUGUAAAGCUCAGAGAAUGCCCAGCGCUGACCGUCCCAGCAGGGGAGAGGCAGGCGAGGGACUCUCUUCAGUGAUUCAGCUGAAAACUGAAUGCACAGCCGUUGCUCCACGAGAAAAAAAACGGUUUGCAAGCUCACAGGACGCUGCCCUGAAACCCAGGACUACUAAGCCACAAGUGGCCCUUCCAGGUGAUGGAUGUCCAAGCCUGAUGUGCCAGAGAGAAGGGCAGAAACUGAGGCACAGCACGAGGAGCAGCUGGCAAAACCAGAGGGAAGGAUCAAUAUUCCGCAGGAGGCUCACCAUAUAAAAUAAAGUGGAGGAAUCCCAGAGGGUGAAGGUGCAGAUGGAGGCUGACAUGUCCUGCCCUUGGACAGCCUGGGGCCUGAUGGACUCCCCCAGGUCACAUGGGCUGCAGCCAGAGAAGCCAGGAUGUGUGUCCCACCCGUGGCUCAGCGUUCCCCACGGUCUGUACUCACCACUUUGCAGCAGAGGGGCCAGAACCACCAGAGCAG